rnacentral:rRNA from 1 species
ACUUAAAUUGAAGAGUUUGAUCAUGGCUCAGAUUGAACGCUGGCGGCAGGCCUAACACAUGCAAGUCGAGCGGUAGCACAGAGAGCUUGCUCUCGGGUG